rnacentral:tRNA from 1 species
CACGCUCAGCGCCGGUGUGACCCCGGCCCUCAGCUACGCCGGCGCCGCGG